GGCGAGAUGGCCGAGCGGUCUAAGGCGCUAGAAUCAGGUGCUGAGCGUGGUAGAGAUAUGAUAUCUAGUCCUCCGGGGCGUGGGUUCGAAUCCCACUCUCGUCA